UACGUAGGGGGCAAGCGUUAUCCGGAUUUACUGGGUGUAAAGGGAGCGUAGACGGCAGAGCAAGUCCGGAGUGAAAGCCCGGGGCCCAACCCCGGGACUGCUCUGGAAACUGUUAAGCUGGAGUGCGGGAGGGGCUGGCGGAAUUCCUGGUGUAGUGGUGAAAUGCGUAGAUAUAUGGAGGAACACCGGUGGCGAAAGCGGCUCUCUGGCCUGUAACUGACACUGAGGCUCGAAAGCGUGGGGAGCAAACAGG
rnacentral:rRNA from 1 species